rnacentral:rRNA from 1 species
CCUACGGGGGCUGCAGUGGGGAAUAUUGGACAAUGGGCGAAAGCCUGAUCCAGCCAUGCCGCGUGUGUGAAGAAGGCCUUCGGGUUGUAAAGCACUUUCAGUGGGGAAGAAAGCCUUGGGGCUAAUACCCUCGAGGAAGGACAUCACCCACAGAAGAAGCACCGGCUAACUCCGUGCCAGCAGCCGCGGUAAUACGGAGGGUGCGAGCGUUAAUCGGAAUUACUGGGCGUAAAGCGCGCGUAGGCGGUCUGAUAAGCCGGUUGUGAAAGCCCCGGGCUCAACCUGGGAACGGCAUCCGGAACUGUCAGGCUAGAGUGCAGGAGAGGAAGGUAGAAUUCCCGGUGUAGCGGUGAAAUGCGUAGAGAUCGGGAGGAAUACCAGUGGCGAAGGCGGUCUUCUGGACUGACACUGACGCUGAGGUGCGAAAGCGUGGGUAGCAAACAGGAUUAGAUACCCUAGUAGUC